UGUUGUGAGUACCAAAUAAGAUGAUUGUCUGUGGUUUAUGAAAGCUGAGUGCUUAUUAUAGGGCACAUGAGACACCUCGGACCCACCCAGUGCUGUGUGAGCUGUACCAUCCAGCACCUUAAGACCCAUAAGAAGCUGGAAAGCUACUGGGAAAGAUGAGGCAAGGAUAUGAGGAGAAACCCCACCAAGGCCUCAGUGACUCCAUAAAGGAAAUGGCUGCAAUUAAGCAUCAUGACAUCAGCUGCCAACAGUACUCAGCUCCCAACAGGAACAUGUUUGUGAACCAUCUUUUCUCCCCACUCUUAGGCUUUGAGUAGGAUACACCUCCUACUCAAAGCCUGGGACCCUCAAGGCCAGCUCUGCACUGGGAGACAGCAGUGUACUCCCCACCUACGCCCAGUGCCCGCGGCUUGGAGGGGCCCACAGAACUGGACCAGGACACACAAGCAAGUACCCAUCCUCGCCUCUCCGUGUCAUGGGCUCUGACCAGCACAGAUCAACUCCCCUUACGGACGCGCCAAUAAAUCAUUUCUGACAUGGAAACUUUACAUGGAAUCCCAACAUGUACCGCUGAAGACAUCCACACUCUGGAAAUCAUGAAUCCACUGGGGACAGGAGACCCCGAGCAGAAAUGAACAUACCAAGACCAAUGUCAGAAACAGGCAUGGCUGGGCUGCUCCCUUCCCAAGAAAAGAUGAGGAAUGCCCGUGAGGCUUUCUCACGGUAAGAGAAGGCCCCGCUUGGUAAGAAUAACUUCCAGUGUGCUCACCAGAAAAGUAUGCACAGCACAACAGCAGACCAGCAGCAUCCAGGAGCCAAGGCCGUUCCCGUGCGGGGGACCUACAGACACCAGGCAUCUGGGGCCUGUCCAGGACCCGGGAAGAAGUGCACUCACUGCGUGGAGCCUGGUCCUCUACCAGGGCUUUCUGGGCUGGGGCUGUGAUGAAAGGGGAGAGGCUGUGGGGGCUGGUGCAGCCCACUGCAGCCCACAGGCGGUAAGCGUUGCAGAACGGCACUAAGUGAAGGGUCAUUUCUCUCCGAAUGGGGCCCAUUAGGAUGAUUCAUGCACAUCUUCCACACGAGCCGCGGGGCGGACCAGGGCAUCAUUAGGCACAGGCAGCUCCAACCAGCUGCCCUCCCCAACAGUCACUUUCUUUUUAUUGAGGACAUUGCAGCACUGGCCACAACUACCACCACUCACUGUGUUUGAUGGUUCCCAAUUACACUCAGCUUAAUGGUGGAUACUCAAUAAACA